CUUGGUUGUUCUCUGGGCCUCAGUGUCCCUACCUGUACAAUGGCACUAUAUCUAGCUUGCUGACCUUGGGGUAGGGUUUCCAAAAUGCACAUUGUGAUCUAUGUGGGUCAUGAAGUCGAUUUAACAGCAUGCAACCAGCAUGAUUCUUUUUCUUAAAUAGGAAGAGAAUAGGGCAGAAAAUAUUUAGUCUUGCAUAGAGUAAGGGUAAGUAUUGUUUCUUGAAACUUGUGUGGAGUGUGUGUGUGUGUGUGUGUGUACAUGCGUUCUGGGUCAUGAGGUAGGAUAUAUUUUUCAGGGGGGUUGUGGUAAAACAAAAAAGUAAGGAAGUCAGUACUGGAAGCUGUGACAGAAGGGUGACGGUGGCAACUGGAGACCCGGACGUGGUCUCUGCUACUUCUCCACGUCACGGAGAUGACAGGCCCACUUACAACCUCCUGUCUGGGGUUCUUCCUUGCUCUCUUGAGUAGUCUUCCUGCCCUGCCUCUGCUGAGCUCAUGCCCCUCUCUACCCAGAGCCCAGGGCCCUCCCAGCUGAGAGCUCUCAGGAGCUAGUCUGGUUCCCUGGGCCACUCCAAUAAGAGAAGAAGAUUCUGGGAUCCACAGCCUGGUGGUGUCCAGUCUGCCCAGCUGCCUCCGGCCUGGUUCUGCCUCACGAUUCUUCCUCCACCUCAGCUGAAAGGAUUCAUCUUGCAGCACGGCCCACCUUGGAACCCUUUGUGUUUGCUGAAACUUUCUUUGUGAUUAUUCUUAUGUCACUGCAUAGCAUGUAAAUGUAUCACACCCCCCCCCCACCCAUUAUUAUUAUCUCCUAGUAUGCACCAGGCACUGGCCAUAAAUUAUUUCUAAUCAUCAUUAAAACUCUACCACGGUUAUCCUCCCUCUAUGGAUAGGAAAACUAAGGCUUGGAGGUUGAAGAGGUCAUGGAUCUUGUCCAAGGUCACUAAACUCAUAAAUGUCACAGUCAAAAUUUGAAUCUAGAUAGAGUUGUCAGCUCCAAAGAAGUUUGCUCAGUCAGUUCUUCCCCAAAUUAGCUUUUUAUCCAAAUUUGCUGAGAAGCUUUUUAAAAAUACAUCUUCUUUACAACAAAGCCAGAGAAAGAAUAAGGCAGCUCUCUGCACAACAAUAUGGUGCUCGUAUAUGCCUAGAACAUCUCCAGGAAGAAGGGCCGGUACAGGACCAGGUCAGCCUGUCCUCAUUACAUCAGCAGGGUGAGCCAAGGGAGGUUGCCUAAAAAUUCAACUGGCUGUCCCCAUGCCUUCUGCUCCCGCUUCUGGAAGGGAAGACAGGGCAGGGACCAUGUCCAGCUGCAGAAAAUCCCAGUGUUUUUCUGUGGCAUUGCCUGGUAAAGGCUGAACGUGGCUUUCGUGAGAGCUAAUCUGCCUGCCCAACCAGAUUGUGCUGUGGCUAAAAUUGCUGUGAGCUCGACAGUGCCUGAAGACUGGAGAAAACUGAGCCAUGUCUUGGAUGCUCUUGCGGGGCCUAGGGGAGUGCCAGGCCAGAAGGAGAACUGCCUGUGGACUCUCAGUAGGAAAGCAGCUAACGAGGUGAUGAGUGAGUGUCGCCUGGAAGUCUGGGGGCCAUUCCAUGUGGGUCACAUCGCCUGACCAGAGGGUUGGGUGCCUGGACAGGGCUGAGCUUGGGACUCCUUCCAGGGCCUGGCCUCAGCUGCUGGGCCUGCCGAGCAUGCCCCACAAGCACCCACGCACACAUACAAGUAUGGAGGCAGAGUGGAAGUUUGACUUUUGCAGAUCUCGUACAGCCUGGAGUAGAGAAGAGAAUUGGGAACUCUCAAUGUUGUGUGACCCUAGGCAAGUCCCUUCCCUGCCUUGUGCCUCAGUUUCCCUUUACAUACCAUGAGGAUGUUCCCAGUGUUGGUGUUUUAAUGCCUGCAGACAAGCUAAGCUCAUCAUCUGGUUCCCGGAAGAGAUCCUCCUUUUGUGGAAAGGCCACAGCCACUCUGCCACCCUGAGGCUCCCACUCCUCCUUCUCUGGAACCCUCUCCCUUGCCUGUAGGUCACGGGAAUGUCAAGAGCACCCAGGGAAGUGCCUGCUGCCAGUCAUCACUCACUGAUUAUGUGACAGCAGAGGAGCCAAGAAGCUGCUGGGAAUCGAGACACCCCCCCAUUCAGUCCCCACCAUCUCUGUCUUCAUGAGGUUCCCUGGGAGAAGCUCCUAUGUCUGGGAAUGGAAAUGUCUCCACCUGGAUAGGGACAAACAGGAGCUGGGGGCUGCAUCUUAAGACUUCUUGUCCCAUUAGUGCUGACCUCUGGAGACGGCUCCUGAAUUGUGCCCACUCCCCCACCUCCUCACCACACACAUGCUCUGGGCCGUGCGAGGCUCAGCUUGUCACGGACAAGCUAAAAUGAGGUGGCCUGAAUGCCCCUUAUCAUAGACAGCUUAUCUCCUGUGGUCACUCACCUGACAGACUCCAGAGAGCCACUCAGCGGGCCUCUCCCAGCCGCCUGCUUCUCAGCUCUGACUCUCCCUUGCCUUAAGGGGACACUGGAUUCCAGUGACCCUCCUAUUGGUCAGAGUUGGGCUGAGCACAGAGAAGGGGUAGAAUGCUCCUGGGAACUCGGAAAGCUCUGGGAUGCCAGCUUUUCCCACAUGUUCUCACUCACCCCUCUGUAAUACAGAUUCUGCAGCCCUGCCCCCCACACACACACUCCUACACCUCUGCUCUCAAAGUGAAGAAGUAGGCUAAUAUCUGUGGUACAUUUAUUUACCUACUCCCUGAGACUGCAGCUCCCUUAGUCAGUGUUGUGUCCUCCACUCAGGCUGGGGCUCCCUGAGGAUGGGGCUGUGUCUCCCCUCAGACUGGGGUUCCCCAAGGACAGGGCUGUGUCUCUCCUUAGGCUGGGGUCCCUGAGGGUGGGGCUGUGUCUCCCUGCAGAUUGGGGCUCCCUGAGGAUGGGGCUGUGUCUCCCUGAAGACUGGGGCUCCCUGAGGACAGGGCUGUGUCUCCCCUCAGGCUGGGGCUCCUUGAGGAUGGGACACUUUAAAGAAGAGAAAUUGACAGGUUGACCCUGGGGGAUCUUUGGGUCAAUAAAACAUUCUAUAGACCCUCAGUGGUCAGACUAGGAUGAUACCUUGA
rnacentral:lncRNA from 1 species